rnacentral:rRNA from 1 species
GAUGAACGCUGGCGGCGUGCCUAAUACAUGCAAGUCGAGCGAACAGAUGAGGAGCUUGCUCCUCUGACGUUAGCGGCGGACGGGUGAGUAAAACGUGGAUAAACUACCUAUAAGACUGGGAUAACUUCGGGAAAACGGAGCUAAUACCGGAUAAUAUAUUGAACCGCAUGGUUUAAUAGUGAAAGACGGUUUUGCUGUCACUUAUAGAUGGAUCCGCGCCGCAUUAGCUAGUUGGUAAGGUAACGGCUUACCAAGGCAACGAUGCGUAGCCGACCUGAGAGGGUGAUCGGCCACACUGGAACUGAGACACGGUCCAGACUCCUACGGGAGGCAGCAGUAGGGAAUCUUCCGCAAUGGGCGAAAGCCUGACGGAGCAACGCCGCGUGAGUGAUGAAGGUCUUCGGAUCGUAAAACUCUGUUAUUAGGGAAGAACAAAUGUGUAAGUAACUAUGCACGUCUUGACGGUACCUAAUCAGAAAGCCACGGCUAACUACGUG